ncrna:unclassified sequences Mu-gpT-DE RNA
CCCUGACAGCCUCAUGGUGAGGCUGACAUUAGCCACGACAGGAGAAUUAAAUG